GGUGAGAUGGCCGAGUGGUUUAAGGCGCACGCCUGGAAAGCGUGUGUACGUUAAUAGCGUACCGAGGGUUCGAAUCCCUCUUUCACCGCCA
rnacentral:tRNA from 3 species